UACGGGGGGGGCAAGCGUUGUUCGGAAUUACUGGGCGUAAAGGGCUCGUAGGCGGCCAACUAAGUCAGACGUGAAAUCCCUCGGCUUAACCGGGGAACUGCGUCUGAUACUGGAUGGCUUGAGUUCGGGAGAGGGAUGCGGAAUUCCAGGUGUAGCGGUGAAAUGCGUAGAUAUCUGGAGGAACACCGGUGGCGAAGGCGGCAUCCUGGACCGGACACUGACACUGAGGAGCGAAAGCCAGGGGAGCAAAGCGGG
rnacentral:rRNA from 1 species